CCUCCUCUUGCUCCUCCUUGUCCUUGUCGUCCUCUUCAUCCUACUUCUUCCCCUCCACGUCCUCUUCCUCAGCCUCCUCUACUUCUCACUCUUCCUGCUCCCUCCAUUGUACUCCACACACAGAGCUUACCUGUAGCUUAUUCAUAGUGCGUAGGCUGAUUGCAAAGUGAACUAAUUAUCUAAAACAGUUUUCACAUGUGAAAGUGUGCCAGACAGCUGGCAAAAUAGUGUAAAUAAUGGCCAUAAAUGUGUAUAGUUUUGCUAGGAGUGUGUUGCAAAUUUGGUAAUUGAGUGUAAGCAGUGAGUUGUGUUUAAAGUUCUGCAAAGUGUGUCUUACAAAAUGGCAAACUGAGUGCAAAGCAGUGUUUGUGCUUUUAGUUUUGCAAACUCAGUGAGUGGUUUUGCUAUAAGUAUUAAUAGUUUUAGAAAUUGUACUAUAAGAAUCACAGUUAGGGUUUAAGCAUUCAGAAAAAACUGUAAAGUUCUUGAAAUGGCUAAACUGAGGGCUUUUUGUAGUUGGCUGAUUGGUGUUCAGUUUUGCAAGUAAGUGCCUUCAGGUGUGUAUUUGAGUGGUUGCAAUUACCCGAUGUGUUUUGUAUUUUGGAUACAUGUGUUUUCCAAAUGGCACCCUGAAAUUUCAUUUUUGAACAAAGUGUCUUAUGUAUGAAAUAGAGUGUAGUAUGCAGGACCAUGUGUGUUGCAUAAAGGAGUAAGUGUGUUGCAUAAUUGCAACUAGAGUGCAAAGCAGCGCUUUUGUUUAAGGUAUGGAUACAUGUGUUUGAGGUAUGGUAACGAAAGCUUCAAGUUGUGUUACUUUAGUCUAAGCAUGGGUUUAUAGUGUUCAAGCAACGGGCAAAAACUGUAAUCUCUGUCUCUCUACCACAGCGUAUCCUGGAGGUUUCUUCCUGUUAAAAGGGAGUUUUUCUUUCCCACUGAUGCCAAAUGCUUACUCAUGGUGGUCACAUGAUUGUGGUAGUUUUCUCUGCAUUAUUAUAUGGUCUCUAACGUACAAUCAUAUGCGCCUUUAGGCAACUGUUAUUGUGAUUUGGUUCAAUCCAUCGACUGUCUUACACUGAUCCUUGUCAGAGUGGUGAGGGCUGGAGCGUAUCCCAUGACGCUGUUACAAACACGUCCUUUAAUCAAGCUCCAAAACAUGUGAGUCAACCUGAAUCCUUUAGAUUUGCAUCUGAAACUUUCUUUAAAAAUGUUAAAAAAUGAUGCCCAGCAGCUCGUUCACACUGAACCUGAUGGUUCAUGAGAAGAUCCACAGUUAAAAUACACACAGAUCGUCCAAUAACAACUCACUUUAUCCACUUUUAAAAAAGCUUACACGCUGUGAAAAGCACAAAGCGAUGCAUCAGUGAGUCCCCAGUACGAGUGUUAGGGCCCGAGCAGAGCCUGACAGGUGUGCUGCAAUCUAGGUGUGUGUGUGUGUGUGUGUGUGUGUGUGUGUGUGUGUGUGUGUGUGUGUGUGUGUGUGUGUGUGAGAGAGUGUGUGUGUGUGUGAGAGAGAGUGUGUGUGUGAGAG
ensembl:lncRNA